rnacentral:lncRNA from 1 species
GGGGACUUGGUGGCGUUCGGGAUGCUGGGAUAGAAAAUUUACUCUGGUGCCUUGGCAGAAUCUGGAGUGCUGGGAUGGGGAAGUUCUUCAGAGAGCACUGAGGUCACGCAGCUGAGUUUUCCUCCUUGUCUUCAAGACACAGGAACUUGCAUUCAGCUACAAAACCGAGCGGGCUGCAAAUCUCAUCAUAUCAUAUGACUCCGAGCAGUAGCCUUAAAAUCAAUGGUAAACAUUAUAAGACACUAAAGAAAAUCAUGGGAACUUUUUCUUAUCUGAGUCAACACAUCCCCUGGUACCAACGUGAUGAAAUAGCCCCUGCCAGAUAUAAUCCUUCCUUUCUUCAAGGGUGAACCAAAUUGUGGACUGGCAGAUGCUCAAGUCACCAGCUUUAAUCACAAUUUAAUCACGAGUUCAAUCAGCAAGCUGGAAGUUUGAUCUUGCUAAGUCAUUUUCAGCUGAUUUCAUGUGUGCAACAUAGUUUCAUAAAAAGGUUAAUUCCUCUGGGUUGGUAAAUCUGUAUCUUGCAAUCAGUUGCCUUUAUAUUAAAUUCUAAAUUCUAAAUAUUAAAGUUGAUAUUAUUACAUAAGCCAGCUGAACACCUUGCUAGCAUCUAUAAAGCAAUAUGUAUCUUAACACAGAUUUACUUUGGCUCUAACAUUUUACUUUUUCUUAAAUUUCCUCGGCUGCUUUUGAAGAACCAUUUCCAAGAACUGGUUGCUGGAUAGCAAUUUUUCAUCUGGGAAUUGCCUCAGGCUCUUUUUGCCCAAGUAUUGCACAGCAUUUGGAGAACACACACACAAGACAUUUGAAGUAGGUGGAUAGUUCUUAAAAUUUCAUUUUCUGUGGAUAUCCUUCAAAUUAUUCAUCAAAGCAGACUGUGUGUAUAUGUGCAAAGGAAGGCUUUCCCAAGGCUCCCUCUCACCAGUUGUGCAUCCUGCACUCCUGCCAGCCAGUAGUGAUGGUUUCUCCCUGCUGCUCCACUCAGCAAUGGAAAGUUAUCUGAAGCCUUAUUUUCAGAUGCUGAAACUUUUACAAGAGAGCCCAGUAUGUGUGAAAACACACAGGCUAUAAAAGAGAGAAAGAGGAAAAAUCCUGAUUUCACCCCUUCC